UGAAGAGGGANAAGCCCAGCACCGAAGCCUGCAGUAGUUUUAUUGUUAGGCAAUGUGGUGUUUAGGUCAGCUCGUGGGACUGUCACUCCACUUGAAGUCUAGCAUUGAGUAUGGCUCUUAAUAUGUCCCAGAGAGGGUGAAAGGCCCGUUCGAGUGGAUGUUGCAGAAAUGUAAGACAGUUCAUCAGGCUGACCUUCGAGUCGGGUUGUUUGAGAAUGCAGCCCUAAGCGGGUGGUAAACUCCAUCCAAGGCUAAAUACAAGCACGAGUCCGAUAGCGAACAAGUACCGUGANGGGAAAGUUGAAAAGUACUCUGAAGAGAGAGUAAACAGUACGUGAAGCCGUAUAGAGGUAAACGGGUGGCGUCAAGCUGCAAGCCUGAAGGAUUCAGUCGGUCAUCAUGUUGUGUGCGUGUCUUGCCUGUGUCAGCCGGUAAUAGUAUGGGUAGUCCGGUGGGAAACACUGGGUCUGGUCGCAAGGCUGGAUGUAUUAACCACACGGUUGGUGGUGUACGCUACUUGACUACAGGGCUGGAUGGCCGAUGCACUUCCUUCAUAAAGGCGAACACCACGACCAGUGGAACUGCCAGUCUGGUAAAGCCAAGUUGUGCUUAGUUUGGUAUUCGUGUCAACUGGGUGCAAUCACAGGCAUUCUCAGUGGACGGUGAGGCCAUGUCUCAUGUUAACGUUCACUGGUUGUCAACGAGUCGAUCUGUCUGAAUGCGUGCGUUUGUUUGUAGUACCUGAUGGAUGGCUUGGUGGGCUUUGCUGGUAUGAAUAACUGUGCAACGCACUGGAAUUAACGGCCUCAUAUCCGUGCUGGCAUGCACACUACAAGUGCAAAAUGGUGGCGUUAGUGCAUUCUGUCGUUGGUGAGUCUGAUUGUCGUGUUUGCCUGCGCAAAGUAGGUCCGGCAGUGGCUUAUUGACGGUCUGGGUGUAUUUGGCGUUAUCUUUGUCAGUCGGUGUUGGUCGCAAAGUCUGUGGUGCGGUGGUAGACGAGCUACCCGACCCGUCUUGAAACACGGACCAAGGAGUUUAACACGCACGCGAGUCACUGGGCCUACCGAAACCCAACGGCGAAAUGAAAGUGAAGUCUCGAUAUUGUCCUCGAGGCGAGGUGAGAUCCUGUUGUUACUCGCACUGUCAUUGUUGGUACAAGACAAAGAGCUGCAGGCGCAUCACCGGCCCGUCCCAUGAUGUGGUUAUUGGUAAGUUGGCGUUUUGAUGCUGUUUUGUGUUGCCACGUCAACUCCAGUGCGUCAUCGGGGCGGAGCAUGAGCGUGCGUGUUAAGACCCGAAAGAUGGUGAACUAUGCUUGCGUAGGUUGAAGCCAGAGGAAACUCUGGUGGAGGACCGUAGCGAUUCUGACGUGCAAAUCGAUCGUCAAACGUGAGUAUAGGGGCGAAAGACUAAUCGAACCAUCUAGUAGCUGGUUCCCUCCGAAGUUUCCCUCNNGAUAGCUG
rnacentral:rRNA from 1 species